rnacentral:rRNA from 1 species
ACAACAGAGAUAAUUUGCUUGAUUUAGAUUCCCAAGUGGAUAACUUUGGUAAUUCUGGAGCUAAUACAUGCCUCGAUGCCCUGACCGUGAGGAAAGGGUGCAGUUAUUAGAUCAAAACCAAACGGGCUUGCCCGUGUUUUGUUGACUCUGAAUAACCAUUCCGAUCGCAUGGUCUCGUACCGGCGACGUAUCAUUUCAAGACUCUGCCCUAUCAACUUCCGAUGGGAGGUCAUGUGCCUCCCAUGGUUGUGACGGGUAACGGAGAAUAAGGGUUCGACUCCGGAGAGGGAGCCUGAGAAACGGCUACCACAUCCAAGGAAGGCAGCAGGCGCGCAAAUUACCCACUCUCAGCACGAGGAGGUAGUGAAUAGAAAUAACAAAGUAGAUGUCUUUGAUGUCUACUAUUGGAAUGGGUACAAUUUAAAACCCAUAACGAGGACCUAUGAGAGGGCAAGUCUGGUGCCAGCAGCCGCGGUAAUUCCAGCUCUCAUGGCGUAUAUCGUCAUUGUUGCAGUUAAAAAGCUCGUAGUUGGAUGUCAGCGAUUGGCCGUGGUCCGCUCUUUGGGCGUGCACUGCGUGCCUUCGUUAACGCGUCGGUCUUCGGUCGUUCUUCGGGGCGGCCGUGGCUGACAAGAUUACUUUGAACAAAUCAGAGUGCUUAAAACAGGCUUGUGCCUGAAUGAUCUUGCAUGGAAUAAUGGAAUAGGACUGCGGUUCUAUUUUGUUGGUUCUCGGAACCGUAGUAAUGAUUAAGAGGAACAAACGGGGGCAUUCGUAUCGCUGCGCGAGAG